AUGGUGGUGGGAGGCGGUGGCGCUGGUGGGAAGUACAGCUCGAAAAGUGAUGACGAUUGCGGCUUCCUGGGGCUGUGGCCUACUUUGGUGGACCGAGCACUGAGGCAGCAGUGGCGAGGCCCAAGAAAUAAGUGCGGCUGGCAGCAGCUCGCUCAGGAGCCGCUGGGGCUGGAGGUUGACCAGUUCCUGGAAGAUGUGCAGCUGCAGGAGGGCAUGAGCGUGGCUAGUUGUCAGAGGUCCCGAAUGAAAAACUCUUCUUAAUGCACCCUGGCUCCCAGGAAAAAGGGCUAAGAAGAGAACCAAAGUCCAGAAGUCACUGCUUCUCAAGAAACCUCUUCGGGUUGACCUCCUCCUCGAGAACACAUCCAAAGUCCCUGCCCCCAAAGAUGUCCUUGCCCACCAGGGCCCCAACGCCAAGAAGCUCAGGCGGAAGGAGCAGCUCUGGGAGAAGCUGGCCAAGCAGGGCGAGCUGCCCCGGGGAGGCCCGCAGGGCCCAGGCCCAGCUCCUCAACUCUCCUGCCGCCAAGUCCAAGCCCGGGCCCCAGGACACCGUGGAGCGGCCCUUCUACGACCUCCGGGCCCCAGACAGCAGCCCUGGCCAGGCCAUGGUUGGCCAGGCCGUUGGUUGGCCAGGAUGCGUUUUUCCUGGAGCAGACCAAGAAGAAAGGAGUGAAGCGGCCACCACGCCUGCACACUAAGCGGUCCCAGGCCCCCGCCCUGGAGGUAGCGCCUGCCGGAGUCUCCUACAACCGGUCCUUUGAAGACCGCCAGACCCUGCUCUCAGCGGCCCACGAGGUGGCGUUGCGGCGGCAGACCGAGGCGGGGAAGCUGGAGCGGCAGCUGGCCUUGCCCGCCACGGAGCAGGCCGCAGACAAGUCCUCACGGUUCCAGGAGCUGUGCGAGGGACUGCUGGAGGAGUCGGACGGUGACAGGGAGCAGGGCUUGGACGAGGGGCCGGAGGCUGGGGAGGCCAAGGUCUGCCCCACGCCCGCCCGCCUGCCCGCCACAGAGAGGAAGACCGAGCAGCAGCGGCGGCGGGAGAAGGCUGCGUGCACGGCAGGCCGCGUUGCGGGCGGCCUGGCUCCGGCACCAGGAGCUGUUCCGGCUGCGCCUGUUCAAGGCCCAGGUGGCCCUGAGGCUGGCGGAGCUGGCGAGGCGGCGGGAGGCCGAGACUGACAAGCCCCGAAGGCUGGGGCGGAUCAAGUGCUAGGCAUCCAGACGUGCAGCUCAGCUCAGAACUGACUGACUCGCUCAGGACUCUGAAGCCCGAGGGCAACAAACAUCUUUGGAGACCGGCUCUAGAGCUUCCAGAGGAGGAAUAUGAUCGAGCCUGGAGAGCCAAGUUCAAGUCCAAGUACAAGGUGAAGCUGAUGGAGAAAUGGGUGUUAAAGGAGAUCCAGUUGUAGCUGUUAAUCAGACGCCGGAGCCACGCCCUUCAAUAAAAAGUCC